AUUGAACGCUGGCGGCAUGCCUUACACAUGCAAGUCGAACGGCAGCACGGGAGCAAUCCUGGUGGCGAGUGGCGAACGGGUGAGUAAUAUAUCGGAACGUGCCCAGUCGUGGGGGAUAACCCAGCGAAAGCUGUGCUAAUACCGCAUACGCUCUACGGAUGAAAGCGGGGGAUCGCAAGACCUCGCGCGAUUGGAGCGGCCGAUAUCAGAUUAGCUAGUUGGUGGGGUAAAGGCCCACCAAGGCAACGAUCUGUAGCUGGUCUGAGAGGACGACAGCCACACUGGAACUGAGACACGGUCCAGACUCCUACGGGAGGCAGCAGUGGGGAAUUUUGGACAAUGGGCGCAAGCCUGAUCCAGCAAUGCCGCGUGCAGGACGAAGGCCUUCGGGUUGUAAACUGCUUUUGUACGGAACGAAACGGUGAGCUCUAAUACAGUUUGCUAAUGACGGUACCGUAAGAAUAAGCACCGGCUAACUACGUGCCAGCCGCCGCGGUAA
rnacentral:rRNA from 1 species